CUUGAGGCUAGAGUCACGCUUGGGUAUCUGCUAUUGCCUUUGUGUGCUAGAGUCCUCGAAGAGUAACUACUGACCUUAUUCACUGACUGUGGCCCCCCUAUGACAUAGUCAGUCACCAGGUUAGUGACAUGC